GCACGCGCACUAUAAAAGGGGGCAAAAUAACUGGUUAGCUCCGAAAAAUCUGUCAAUCAAAUCAGUUGAGUCGAGACUUCCAAGGGUGCGGACAUGUUUCACGGAGCUCCCGACAAACCAGCAAAUGAGUCGAGCUACAGUGCAAACCUAUCCAAGUGCAGAAAGUUUGGUGCCCAAGUUCCAAUUCUGCAUCUCCUCAAACCACUUCUACUACUACCAGUACAAAUUUUAAUAUGUGUUUAUUGUAAAUGCCUGGAUUAGGCAUGAUCAAGUGUGCUUUACAUGCACAGACUGAUCUAUGCAGUUUACAAUCAUGGAGUAUAUAAGCACUGUACCUGAAGAUUUUCCCAAAAUAAACAGUGUAAUUCAGUGUAAAUAAAAGCAUGAAAACAUUAA